rnacentral:rRNA from 1 species
UACGUAGGGGGCAAGCGUUGUCCGGAAUUAUUGGGCGUAAAGAGCGUGUAGGCGGCCAGAUAAGUCCGCUGUGAAAUCUCGAGGCUCAACUUCGAGCUGUCGGUGGAAACUAUCUGGCUAGAGUCCGGAAGAGGAGAAUGGAAUUCCUGGUGUAGCGGUGAAAUGCGCAGAUAUCAGGAAGAACACCAGCGGCGAAGGCGGCGCUCUGGGCCGGAACUGACGCUGAGGAGCGAAAGCGUGGGGAGCGAACAGG